rnacentral:rRNA from 1 species
UACAGAGGUCUCAAGCGUUGUUCGGAUUCAUUGGGCGUAAAGGGUGCGUAGGCGGCGCGGUAAGUCGGGUGUGAAAUCUCGGAGCUUAACUCCGAAACUGCAUUCGAUACUGCCGUGCCUUGAGGACUGGAGAGGAGACUGGAAUUUACGGUGUAGCGGUGAAAUGCGUAGAUAUCGUAAGGAAGACCAGUGGCGAAGGCGGGUCUCUGGACAGUUCCUGACGCUGAGGCACGAAGGGUCAGGGGAGCAAACGGG